AGCGAACGCUGGCGGCAGGCCUAACACAUGCAAGUCGAAUGAAGUCUUCGGACUUAGUGGCGGACGGGUGAGUAACACGUGGGAACGUGCCUCUAGGUUCGGAAUAACUCAGGGAAACUUGUGCUAAUACCGAAUGUGCCCUUCGGGGGAAAGAUUUAUCGCCUUUAGAGCGGCCCGCGUCUGAUUAGCUAGUUGGUGAGGUAAAGGCUCACCAAGGCAACGAGCAGUAGCUGGUCUGAGAGGAUGAUCAGCCACAUUGGGACUGAGACACGGCCCAAACUCCUACGGGAGGCAGCAGUGGGGAAUCUUGCGCAAUGGGCGAAAGCCUGACGCAGCCAUGCCGCGUGAAUGAUGAAGGUCUUAGGAUUGUAAAAUUCUUUCACCGGGGACGAUAAUGACGGUACCCGGAGAAGAAGCCCCGGCUAACUUCGUGCCAGCCGCCGCCGUAACAC
rnacentral:rRNA from 1 species